GACAGAGGUGCCAAGCGUUAGGCGGAAUCACUGGGCUUAAAGCGUGUGUAGGCGGAAUGGUAAGUACCUUGUGAAAUCCCACGGCUCAACCGUGGAACUGCUGGGCAUACUGGACAUCUCGAGGCACUCAGGGGCGAGCGGAACAAGUGGUGGAGCGGUGAAAUGCGUAGAUAUCACUUGGAACGCCAAUGGUGAAGACAGCUCGCUGGGGGUGUCCUGACGCUGAGGCGCGAAAGCCAGGGGAGCGAACGGG
rnacentral:rRNA from 1 species